AACGCGAAGAACCUUACCUGGGCUCGAAAUGCUAUGGACCAGCCUUAGAAAUAGGGCCUUCCCGCAAGGGACUGUAGUAUAGGUGCUGCAUGGCUGUCGUCAGCUCGUGUCGUGAGAUGUUGGGUUAAGUCCCGCAACGAGCGCAACCCUUAUCCCUAGUUGCCAUCGGGUCAAGCCGGGCACUCUAGUGAAACCGCCCAGGAUAACUGGGAGGAAGGUGGGGAUGACGUCAAGUCCUCAUGGCCUUUAUGUCCAGGGCUACACACGUGCUACAAUGGUCGGUACAAACCGUCGCAAACCCGCGAGGGGGAGCUAAUCGGAAAAAGCCGGCCUCAGUUCGGAUUGGAGUCUGCAACCCGACUCCAUGAAGCUGGAAUCGCUAGUAAUCGCGGAUCAGAACGCCGCGGUGAAUACGUUCCCGGGCCUUGUACACACCGCGCAUA
rnacentral:rRNA from 1 species